UGGGGAAUAUUGCACAAUGGGCGAAAGCCUGAUGCAGCAACGCCACGUGAGUGAUGAAGGCCUUCGGGUUGUAAAGCUCUGUCUUCUGGGACGAUAAUGACGGUACCAGAGGAGGAAGCCACGGCUAACUACGUGCCAGCAGCCGCGGUAAUACGUAGGUGGCAAGCGUUGUCCGGAUUUACUGGGCGUAAAGGAUGCGUAGGCGGAUACUUAAGUCAGAUGUGAAAAUCCCGGGCUUAACUUGGGAACUGCAUUUGAAACGGGGUAUCUAGAGUGCGGGAGAGGAAAGUGGAAUUCCUAGUGUAGCGGUGAAAUGCGUAGAGAUUAGGAAGAACACCAGUGGCGAAGGCGACUUUCUGGACCGUAACUGACGCUGAGGCAUGAAAGCGUGGGGAGCAAACA
rnacentral:rRNA from 1 species